GGUUCGAUGGUGUAGUUGGUUAUCACGUCUGUCUCACAAGCGUUCAGCUGGGCUUGAACAUGUGCACACAGGAGGUCUCCGGUUCGAACCCGGGUCGAACCA
rnacentral:tRNA from 1 species